GUGCGUGUAGAUUUAUGUUUUAGAUUGUAAGGCUGUUAACCUUGAGGAGGUAUUAUACCCGCGGACG
rnacentral:tRNA from 1 species